rnacentral:tRNA from 1 species
AGCUUCGUGGUGUAAUGCACAUUAGAUUGCAAGUCUAAAAGUGUAGGCUAAUUGCCUGCCGGGGCUU